ACGACCCAGCCUUCAGUAAGUCUCAAGGUGGUUAAUGAUAGAUUAGAUUGGAAGCACAGUAUGUGUCCAGAGCAGCAUUCAAUCAAAGAGGUGCGUAAUAGCUCACUGUUCGGAAGGUCUGCCCGGAAAUGUACCGGGGCUAAACUCCCCCCACCGAAACUAAGGGGAUCCGUAAAGGAUCCGUUGAAGGAGCAUUGCAUGCGGGGACGAAAGCCAGUAACAGUAAGAUAGCUGUGGACUGCAUGGAAGAAGAGAAAUGCCGGAAUGAGUAGCGAGAUAGAAGUGAGAAUCCUUUAGGCCGGAAUAUCCAGGGUUACAGGGUAAAGCUGAUCUGCCCUGGGUAAGUCGGGGCCUAAGGUGAGGACGAGAGUCGUAGCCGAUGGACAACAGGUGGAGAUUCCUGUACUAUGAUAUGACAGAACUGUGGGGACACGUGCAGAGAGCGGAAGCCGGGAAUGGGAUCCCGGUGCAAGCGAGGUACCAGCCGCAUUGGAAAAACCGUGCGGCAAUGGGAAGACGUGAUGCGGAGUGAAGUUUAGUAAUGAAGUCCGUGAGCUGUGCGUCAAGAAAAGCCGCUAUUGUUCAUACCAUACCCGUACCGUAAACCGACACAGGUGGAUGAGGAGAGAAUCCUAAGGCCGGCGGAAGAAGCAUUGUCAAGGAACUCGGCAAAAUGACCCCGUAACUUCGGGAGAAGGGGUGCCUGCGAGAGCAGGCCGCAGAGAAUAGGCUCAAGCAACUGUUUAGCAAAAACACAGGUCUAUGCGAAACCGAAAGGUGAGGUAUAUGGGCUGACGCCUGCCCGGUGCUGGAAGGUUAAGAGGAGAGGUUAGCGCAAGCGAAGCUUUGAAUUUAAGCCCCAGUAAACGGCGGCCGUAACUAUAACGGUCCUAAGGUAGCGAAAUUCCUUGUCGGGUAAGUUCCGACCCGCACGAAAGGCGUAAUGAUUUGAGCGCUGUCUCGACAAUGCAUCCGGUGAAAUUGAAGUACCAGUGAAGAUGCUGGUUACCUGCGCCAGGACGGAAAGACCCCAUGGAGCUUUACUCCAGUUUGGUACUGGGAUCCGGUACUGCAUGUACAGGAUAGGUGGGAGGCUGAGAAUCGGUAACGCCAGUUGCCGAGGAGCCGCUGUUGGGAUACCACCCUUGCAGUAUUGGGUUUCUAACCAGCCGCCGUGACCCGGCGGUGGGACAAUGCCAGACGGGGAGUUUGACUGGGGCGGUCGCCUCCGAAAGGGUAU
rnacentral:rRNA from 1 species